UACUCAUUCCAAUUACCAGAC
rnacentral:siRNA from 1 species